rnacentral:lncRNA from 1 species
GGUUGAGAAGGAGAAGGAGACAAUGGUGGAGUCUGGUCAGAAGGAGAUGAAGCAGGAGAAACUGGCGAUGGAGUAGAAUCAGGUGAUGGAGAUGGAGGUGAAGUAGCCGGAGAGUGAGAUGGUGCGUGCGAUGGUGAGUGAGAAACAGGGGAUGGAGAUGGAGGUAAAGUAGCCGGAGAGUGAGAUGGUGCGUGCGACGGUGAGUGAGAAACAGGGGAUGGAGAUUUUGGAGAGUGGGAUGGAGCAUGCGAAGGCGAGAGAGCUGGUGAGUGAGAAGAUUUAGGUGGUUGUGCAGGAGAAACAGAGGAUCUUGGAGAGUG